rnacentral:rRNA from 1 species
GAGGGGUGCAAACGUUAUUCGGAUUUACUGGGUGUAAAGGGUGUGUAGACGGGUUGUUAAGUUCGUUGUUAAACCUUCCGGCCUAACCGGAAGCUCGCGAUGAAAACUGGCAGUCUUGAGGAUGGAAGAGAGAAGUGGAAUUCUCGGAGUAGCGGUAGAAUGCGUAGAUCUCGAGAGGAACACCGAUGGCGAAGGCAGCUUCUUGGUCCAUUCCUGACGUUGAAACACGAAAGCGUGGGGAGCAAACAGGAUUAGGUACCCUGGGUAGUCCACGCCGUAAACGAUGAUCACUAGAUGUUGGCUCUGUUUUUGCAGAGUUGGUAUCGAAGCUAACGCGUUAAGUGAUCCACCUGGGGAACCACGAUCGCAAGAUUA